AGUGAACGCUGGCGGUAGGCCUAAUACAUGCAAGUCGAACGGCAGCACAGUAAGAGCUUGCUUUUAAGGGUGGCGAGUGGCGGACGGGUGAGGCAUACAUCGGAAUCUACUUUUUCGUGGGGGAUAACGUAGGGCCACUUAUGCUAAUACAGCAUAUGACAUACGGGUGAAAGCAGGGGAUCUUCGGACCUUGCGCGAUUGAAUGAGCUGACGUCGGAUUAGCUAGUUGGUGAGGUAAAGGCACACCAAGGCGACGAUACGUAGCUGAUCUGAGAGGAUGAUCGGCCACACUGGAACUGAGACACGGUCCAGACUCCUACGGGAGGCAGCAGUAGGGAAUAUUGGGCAAAGGGCGCAAGCCUGAUCCAGCCAUGCCGCGUGAGUGAAGAAGGCCUUCGGGUUGUAAAGCCCUGUUGUUGGGAAAGAAAAACAGCGGAUUAAUACCCCGCUGUUCUGACGGUACCCAAAGAGUAAGCACCGGCUAACUUCGUG
rnacentral:rRNA from 1 species